CUGGCCAGGCGUAGGGGAGGAGGAGAGGGGCACAGGGCCGCUUAGACACCCAGACAAACUUCCUGGAAGGAUUCUGAUUUCAGAGCAAGUGCGAAGGCCUAAGACAGCUUACCAAGGAAAGGAAUUCUCUCCCUGUUCCAUGUCCUGCUCAACCAUAUCUCUCACGAAGCCACUCCUGCUGCCAUUCCAGAUUUUAGUUCCUUCUCCGAUGAAGCUCUUCUUGGCACUCACCGUCAGUACCAAUCGUACAAAAUUGCUUUUCAGCACUUUUGGACUCAACCUUCCCAGACUUUAUCUUUGAAUUCCUCAAGUCCUUCAUGCUGUGCAACAGUAUUGGGACCUAAAAUUUUGCCUUCGAUGAACAGUUCGUUCUAGUCGACCACAAGAGAUAACACAGUCACUUGUUUCACCCUCCACUGCGUUCCACACUAAGGACGUCCCCAAGACGACUGUAUUUCUGCUGCC